UCCGAAGGGUGCAAGCGUUACUCGGAAUUACUGGGCGUAAAGCGUGCGUAGGCGGUUCGUUAAGUCUGUCGUGAAAGCCCUGGGCUCAACCUGGGAAUUGCGAUGGAUACUGGCGAGCUAGAGUACGGUAGAGGAUGGUGGAAUUCCCGGUGUAGCGGUGAAAUGCGCAGAUAUCAGGAGGAACACCAAUUGCGAAGGCAGCUCGCUGGGACGUUACUGACGCUGAGGCGCGAAAGCUAGGGGAGCAAACGGG
rnacentral:rRNA from 1 species